rnacentral:rRNA from 1 species
GAUGAACGCUGGCGGCGUGCCUAAUACAUGCAAGUCGAGCGAACAGACGAGGAGCUUGCUCCUCUGACGUUAGCGGCGGACGGGUGAGUAACACGUGGAUAACCUACCUCUAAGACUGGGAUAACUUCGGGAAACCGGAGCUAAUACCGGAUAAUAUAUUGAACCGCAUGGUUCAAUAGUGAAAGACGGUUUUGCUGUCACUUAUAGAUGGAUCCGCGCCGCAUUAGCUAGUUGGUAAGGUAACGGCUUACCAAGGCAACGAUGCGUAGCCGACCUGAGAGGGUGAUCGGCCACACUGGAACUGAGACACGGUCCAGACUCCUACGGGAGGCAGCAGUAGGGAAUCUUCCGCAAUGGGCGAAAGCUUGACGGAGCAACGCCGCGUGAGUGAUGAAGGUCUUCGGAUCGUAAAACUCUGUUAUUAGGGAAGAACAAAUGUGUAAGUAACUAUGCACGUCUUGACGGUACCUAAUCAGAAAGCCACGGCUAACUACGUG